GUACGUAGGGGCAAGCGUUGGUCCGGAAUCAUUGGGCGUAAAGCGCGUGUAGGCGGCCCGAUUAGUCCGCUGUGAAAGUCCAGGGCUCAACCCUGGGAUGCCGGUGGAUACUGUCGGGCUCGAGUCCGGAAGAGGCGAGUGGAAUUCCUGGUGUAGCGGUGAGAUGCGCAGAUAUCAGGAGGAACACCAAUGGCGAAGGCAGCUCGCUGGGACGUGACUGACGCUGAGACGCGAAAGCGUGGGGAGCAAACAGG
rnacentral:rRNA from 1 species